rnacentral:lncRNA from 1 species
UCGUGCAUAAUAUUAGUGAAUAGCACAAAAUUCUUGCGAAAAGGCAAUCAUCCAAAAGCAUUUCAAUUUUAUAUUCCCAUGGCAUUUAAGUGGCCCUAUAACAUUAAAUUAUUGUUCAUACAAUUUAUACAAAUAGCAGCUGAGUUGAGAUGCCACAACAAGGUAAACUAAUAUAGCUUGCUCCCAAGGUAAAAUUGCCAAUCCAUCCAUUCUGUUUAAGCUGUAACAGAGAAGAAUAGGUUUUAGUUUUCUAAUAUUCAUCCUUUUUCCAAAAUUAAAGAAACCAAACCUUCCAUAUUGGGUGAAAGAAUGUGUUGAACUACCUUUAGUGGUGAAGCUGAGUAAAUGCAUGAUAUUACAAGGAUCCACCAACAGCUAGGUAAAAUGUCGCUGGGAAAUUAUGCCCUGCCUAUAAGGUGAGAGAUUUUAGGGCAAAUUGUAGCCAUUUACUAGUGAAGAGAUGGCAUUUUUGAAGACCUACCCACACAUCUAAUAAACCAGCCAACCUGAGACCUCCAAGAAGUAGCACCCAGAUUUGUGUAAUCAUCUGACAAUAUUAGUACCUUCGGAUUAUAACACUUCCAACUUAUCGGCGACCCUUGGCCAUCCACAAUUAGAGUUGGCAACGGUUCAGUUA